rnacentral:rRNA from 1 species
AUUGAACGCUGGCGGCAGGCUUAACACAUGCAAGUCGAACGAGUGGCGGACGGGUGAGUAAUGCUUGGGAAUCUAGCUUAUGGAGGGGGAUAACUACGGGAAACUGUAGCUAAUACCGCGUACCAUAGGAUGAGCCCAAGUGGGAUUAGGUAGUUGGUGAGGUAAAGGCUCACCAAGCCGACGAUCUCUAGCUGGUCUGAGAGGAUGACAAGCCACACUGGGAGUGAGACACGGCCCAGAAUCCUACGGGAGGCAGCAGUGGUGAAUAUUGCGCAAUGGGGGCAACCUGAAGCAGAAAUGCCGCGUGAAUGAAGAAGGCCUUCGGGUUGUAAAGUUCUUUAGGUAGCGAGGCGUUAACUAAAGAAGAAGCACCGGCUAACGCCGUGCCAGCCGACGCGGUAAUAC